rnacentral:rRNA from 1 species
GAUGAACGCUGGCGGCGUGCCUAAUACAUGCAAGUCGAGCGAACGGACGAGAAGCUUGCUUCUCUGAUGUUAGCGGCGGACGGGUGAGUAACACGUGGAUAACCUACCUAUAAGACUGGGAUAACUUCGGGAAACCGGAGCUAAUACCGGAUAAUAUUUUGAACCGCAUGGUUCAAAAGUGAAAGACGGUCUUGCCGUCACUUAUAGAUGGAUCCGCGCUGCAUUAGCUAGUUGGUAAGGUAACGGCUUACCAAGGCAACGAUGCAUAGCCGACCUGAGAGGGUGAUCGGCCACACUGGAACUGAGACACGGUCCAGACUCCUACGGGAGGCAGCAGUAGGGAAUCUUCCGCAAUGGGCGAAAGCCUGACGGAGCAACGCCGCGUGAGUGAUGAAGGUCUUCGGAUCGUAAAACUCUGUUAUUAGGGAAGAACAUAUGUGUAAGUAACUGUGCACAUCUUGACGGUACCUAAUCAGAAAGCCACGGCUAACUACCUG